rnacentral:rRNA from 1 species
AGGAUGUUGGCUUAGAAGCAGCCAUACAUUUAAAGAGUGCGUAAUAGCUCACUAGUCGAGAAAACCUGCGCCGAAAAUGUAACGGGGCUAAAACACGACACCGAAGCUACGGAUUCCUUACAAAGUAAGGAGUGGUAGAGGAGCAUCCUGCAAGGACGAAGCCAAAGUGAGAGCGAUGGUGGACGAAACAGGAGAGAGAAUGCCGGAAUGAGUAGCGAGAUACAUGUGAGAAACAUGUAGGCCGAAUAUCUAAGGAUUCCUGGGUAAAGCUAAUCUUCCCAGGGUUAGUCGGGGCCUAAGGCGAGGACGAAAGUCGUAGUCGAUGGAUAACAGGUUGAUAUUCCUGUACUACACAUAAUCAGAACUGUGGGGACGCAGGAGGAUAGGGAAACCGGGGAAUGGAAAGACCCGGUCAAGCGUAAAGCUGUGGGAGAUAGGCAAAUCCGUCUCCUGUAAGUGAAACGUGAUGAGGACUGAAAAAAAGUAAGGAAGUUUCCGAAUCCACACUGCCGAGAAAAGCCGCUAUUGCGUUAUGUGUACCCGUACCGUAAACCGACACAGGUAGAUGAGGAGAAAAUCCACAGGCCGACGGGAGAAGUGUUGUUAAGGAACUCGGCAAAAUGACCCCGUAACUUCGGGAUAAGGGGAGCCUCGCAAGAGGCCGCAGAAAAGAGGCACAAGCAACUGUUUAGCAAAAACAUAGGUCUAUGCGAAACCGUAAGGUGAAGUAUAUGGGCUGACGCCUGCCCGGUGCUGGAAGGUUAAGAGGAGAGGUCAGCGCAAGCGAAGCUUUGAAUUCAAGCCCCAGUAAACGGCGGCCGUAACUAUAACGGUCCUAAGGUAGCGAAAUUCCUUGUCAGGUAAGUUCUGACCCGCACGAAAGGCGUAAUGAUUUGUGCACUGUCUCGACAACACGCCCGGUGAAAUUGAAGAACCAGUGAAGAUGCUGGUUACCCGCAACAGGACGGAAAGACCCCAUGGAGCUUUACUCCAGCCUGAUACUGGGAUUCGAUGAUAUAUGUACAGGAUAGGUGGGAGGCUAAGAAGCGAGAACGCCAGUUUUCGUGGAGCCGCCGGUGGGAUACCACUCUUAUGUCAUUGGAUUUCUAACCUGCAUCCGUAAUCCGGGUGAG